rnacentral:misc_RNA from 1 species
GGGUCCAUCUCAAGCCCACCGCUGGUUUCUUUCUAUUCCAAUAUCUAUCAAAACUAAAAAAGCUCUAUCAAUUUGUAAACAACCUCCAAAUUUCCCUGAUUCACAGUCCAUUUCCACGAAAAACUCACAUAUUCUGCUAGAAAUACUUGUAUUUCGUACCAUAUACAAUGGAAGAGAACAAGAGUUCACCGAUGAAGGAGGAUAAACAGCCCCAAGAGCAAGAAGCUGAGCAGAAACAAGAACGUGCAGCAGAGAAAUCAUCGUCACCGCCACCAACGGAUCCUAAGACCAAUGGAGGAGGAUGGGUUGGUUGGGGUUUCUCUCCUUUCUCCGUUCUCUCAGAUCUCCAGAAGGCUGCCGAAGAUAUCUCCCGCAAUGCUGCUGUGGUUGCAGAGAAGGCAGCAAAGAGCAUUGCAGAUAUUCAAAAUGUUGCUGACGAUUCUGAAUCUUCUAAGGGGGAGGAAGAGCAAGCAGAAUCCGACAGUGAUAAGGAAACUGAAGCUAGCGGUGAAACUGACAAGCUGCGCAAAUCUGCUUUAGAUAAAUUGGAGAAAGCAAGCGAAGAUUCCUUCCUAGGCCAGGGUUUGAAGGUUCUUGAUAACUCAGUUGAGAAUUUUGCGUCAGGAGCAUGGCAAACAUUAGGAAGUGCAUGGAGAGGGGGUUCAAAUUUGGUUCAAAAGUAAGUAGUGUUGUAGUUGAAACUUAUCAUUGUUUUGAUUAUUGAAAAUUAUUUGUUAUUAAUACAGAAAAAAUGUAGAAUAGCACGUAGUGCAAGCUAAAUAGAAUUUGCGUCAUGCAUUCUAAUGCAUGUAGUCUAUGUUAUAAAAAGAAUUGAUUUGCAGGAAGAUAUGAUUGCAGUCUUUUGAUACCUUCUAAGAUGAGAGUGAAGAUGUUUGCAAAAUGUUGCUUUUUCUCUCUGUUUUUGUUGCUGUUGGAAGGGAGGAAACUUUGAACGAGUUGUGGAUGUUAGGGAUGUUUACUUUAUGCCUAGAACAAUGUACAGACUACGGAACAAAAAUAUCUGUUCUUGUAGGGAUCUCUUGGUCUUGGGCAUCUCUCUCUUUUUUAUCCCCUCACUUUAAGAUCUCCUGUAGCUUUGUAUAUAUCAUUUGCUUCUAGUAAAUUCUGUUUGGGGUUUGCCUAUGUGAGGUCUACCUUGACCUGUGUGCUUUUGUAUAUUCUUAGCUUGAAUAAAAAAUAAAGCCUGUAACAUGCUGUAAGGAUUUGUUUACCUAGCUAGGCCCAACCAUCUAUGUAGAAAGAGUCCUGUAGGGAUAAGUGGGAAAAUUGUAAAAGAGAACUUUUGUAUUUCUGCAACUACUGAAUAUGGAAAGCAAAGACAUGCUGGAAAAGUAUAACAUCACAAAAUUGCAGAGUCUACUGUGCAGUGCAAGAUUCUGUUUCAAAUGAGUUUUCAGUUUUCUGGUUCCUAUUUCCCCUUUUUCCUUUUUUUAUAUAGGCUUGAGCAUUCUGCUGUGAACCUUGCUGAAUCAAUUCAACAUGGUAGCAUACCAGGAGGAGCUGGUUCUGUAGCACCAUCCUUACUAGAGACUGGAAAGGCUUUUACAGCUAAGGGAAUGCAAGUGCUUGAAUAUGUUGGCAAGGAGACCAUGGAUCUGCUAAUCACAGAGACUGGUAUUGAAGUUGAGAAAAAUCCUAAAGGCUCUGAACGAGAAGCUGAUGAGGAUCAGUUACUUGAGGAAGUAACAUUUGAUCGAUGCUUCUAUAUAUAUGGAGGUCCAGAACAAUUGGAGGAGCUUGAGGCAUUGUCCAGCCAUUAUGCCCUCUUAUUUAACCGGAGAAAAGCAAAAUUACCUUUGGAACUGAAGUCUGUAUAUGACGGAAAGCUUAAACUUGUUCAGCAAAUGUUCAAUUUGAGUAUUGAAAUGGAUGAGAAUGAUACUGAGUCCAACAAAGGGAAGAAAAUAGAGACCGGAACUGAAGGAAGUAGCUAUGAGAUGAAAAACUUACACGAUUCAAGUGUCAACAAAGCUGCUGACAUGGCCGCAGGGUUUACAAGUGCCCUAGCAGGACUUACUGCAAAUGACAUUGUUCAAAGAACUGCUGGGAGAUUAGAAACUCUUCACUCAGAGGGGGUUCAUAGGCUUUCUGAAAUGUGCAGCUCAGCUGUGUCUCAACUUCUGAUGCUCGGAAAGUCCAUCAUAUCCACUGCUAACAAAGUGCAGGAAGAAGAUGUUGAUGGGGAUAUCGUGAACAUUGACUGGCCUGAAGAUUCUGUCGAAAAAGCUAAGGUAAUCCGAACAAAGGCACAAUCCAUGGCAGGAUAUGUUGAAGCAGUUUGCGACGGUUUUGUAACAGGUGGUCUUAUAUGAUGACUAUUCCAGUGUCUUGAACGCGUGAUUUGUGUGCAUGUCAACAACUAGAAGCCGAUGACUGUAAACCUUAAUGUCCAAGAGGCAAAGGACUUGAGAUGAAACAUUGGUUUGCUGGCAGUGUAGAUGAGGACCUGGGUAGGGACUAGGCCCAGCCCAAGGUUUGAAGUAUAUACUGUGAACCAUUUCAAACCCAACCCAGGGUUUUAAGUUUAACUGUAAACCACUUCUACUCUUUAUAAAAGAUUAAUCUUAAAUUAUAAUAAAGCAAGCUUCCUGUUGAAAGCUUGAUCAUAGUUUAUACAGACUGUAUCAGAUGUGAUGAUUGAUAAUUAUAUGAUUGCUUUGUGGUCAUAUGCUUUAUAUUUUCACAUCAAUUCUUCCAUCUGUCACUCUUUCUCACUGUUGCUCUACGUUCUGUUCGUAUUUUACCAUAAAUAAUGCUGGCAAGAAGCAACUUUAUUUGAUUGCUUGAUUCA